rnacentral:antisense_RNA from 1 species
GUGGUUUUAGAGCUCCCAGAACUUUGCACAUAACUCCCUAUGUCAGAGUGGGCAGAAAGGAUGGAAUGUCAGCUCUGGGGAGAAUCUAAAGAUCUAAGGAACUGAGUUGUGAAAAUCAGCUUUGAGGUCUUCAGUUAUUUGCUGGACAAUUCCCUGAUGAUAUUAAAGCACCCAGUAGAAGAAUGUGCCUUAUCAAAAACAUAUCAAUCAUGAUGAUCCUUUAAAAUAUAUUUAUUAGUUGAUUGCUUACGGCUGUUUUAGACUAAAAGACCAACACAAAAUAAGAAUAGACUAGUAGUGCUUAUACAUGCUAAAUAACAAUCAAGAAUUCAUAUUAAUGCACAUAACUUUUUGCAGUUAUUGUCAGAAGCAUACUUUGUGCAUAUGGCAUCCAUUCUUAAACUUUUAAACUUCACAGCUACAGCAUGUCUAUUGUCUUUACAACUCCAGUUUUCUCUCAUAAAGACCCAGAUGACCUUCCGGGUACUAUAUAAGCCCCAGACUUUCAAACUGGCUUUACUUACAUACUAUAAUAGAUAUUUUAAUAAAGACCAGUAAGAUACAUAAAGAGAA